GUCCUCUCCUCUCCUGUCAGGGUUAGUAUAGUCAGGAGGUCCUCUCCUCUCCUGUCAGGGUUAGUAUAGUCAGGGGUCCUCUCCUCUCCUGUCAGGGUUAGUAUAGUCAGGAGGUCCUCUCCUCUCCUGUCAGGGUUAGUAUAGUAUAGUCAGGGGUCCUCUCCUCUCCUGUCAGGGUUAGUAUAGUCAGAGGUCCUCUCCUCUCCUGUCAGGGUUAGUAUAGUAUAGUCAGGGGGUCCUCUCCUGUCAGGGUUAGUAUAGUCAGGGGUCCUCUCCUCUCCUGUCAGGGUUAGUAUAGUAUAGUCAGGGGGUCCUCUCCUCUCCUGUCAGGGUUAGUAUAGUCAGGGGUCCUCUCCUCUCCUGUCAGGGUUAGUAUAGCCAGGAGGUCCUCUCCUCUCCUGUAAGGGUUAGUAUAGUCAGGAGGUCCUCUCCUCUCCUGUCAGGGUUAGUAUAGUAUAGUCAGAGGUCCUCUCCUCUCCUGUCAGGGUUAGUAUAGUCAGGGGUCCUCUCCUCUCCUGUCAGGGUUAGUAUAGUAUAGUCAGGGGUCCUCUCCUCUCCUGUCAGGGUUAGUAUAGUAUAGUCAGGAGGUCCUCUCCUCUCCUGUCAGGGUUAGUAUAGUCAGAGGUCGUCUCCUCUCUGAGAGACGGGCGGUAAAGAUGAUCUCAACCCAGUGGGCCAUGCAGGUCCUGGAAUUUGGGCAGAGCCUAUCAGGAGGCAGCUUCCACUAUCAGCCAACCAAUCAGAAGGAUAUGAUGGCUCUCUACUUCCUCAUUUCCUUUGUAAUAAACAGGAGGCAGAGAGAUCACACCCCCUGGUCUGUUCUCUAUUACAGACAGACAGAUACAGAUACUAUGCUCCCAUUGAGGUGCGUUGAGACAGGCAGACAGACAGACGGUAGGACCUCUUUGCGUCGUAGAGGACCUGUUUCCCUAUCAGCCUCUCAGUGUAGUUACCACGGAAAUGAUUAUCCACUCCACCACAUCAUCAUUGCUUAUCACCGACCUGUGGCACAUCACAGACAUUACCUUCAUUAUACACACGCCUGCCUGCUCUUUUUCAUUUCCUGUUAAACCAUUCACCACCUAUCUACUAGAGACAGGAGGAGGACAGAAGCUGUCAUGUACUGGAUUUUACCAUAUCUUAUAGUCUGUCUAGACCUGCUGUUGCUAAGUUACUGGAAAACAGCAACAUGGCUUAACUGUAAGGCAUUUUCUCCUUAGAAGGAAAGAUAAUACUGUGGCGACAGAGAGGGGGAG
rnacentral:lncRNA from 1 species